rnacentral:rRNA from 1 species
AACGUAGGACGCGAGCGUUAUCCGGAGUUACUGGGCGUAAAGCGUGCGCAGGCGGUUCGCCAAGUCAGGUGUGAAAUCCCCGGGCUUAACCUGGGAAUUGCGCUUGAAACUAGCGGGCUUGAGUGCGGCAGAGGGGGGUGGAAUUCCACGUGUAGCAGUGAAAUGCGUAGAGAUGUGGAGGAACACCGAUGGCGAAGGCAGCCCCCUGGGUCGACACUGACGCUCAUGCACGAAAGCGUGGGGAGCAAACAGG